CCCGCCACCACGCCCGGCUAAUUUUUUUGUAUUUUUAGUAGAGACGGGGCUUCACUGUGUUAGCCAGGAUGGUCUGGAUCUCCUGACCUCGUGAUCCGCCUGCCUCCGCCUCCCGAAGUGAUGGGAUUACAGGCAUGAGCCACCGCGCCCGGCCUUAAGAUCUUCACGUCACCAGUAUGAUGGAAUUGAAGCCCAAGAUUGGUACUGUGAUGGAUUUGCAGAAAGAGCCAACAACUCCUACAGAUGAUGACAGUUCUCAUUCUGUUUGGACAGAAUAAAACCCAUGAUUUAUAUGGUUCACAUAUUAGCCAAAGCAAGAGGAAAUGAUGAACUAGAACUUGGCC